rnacentral:rRNA from 1 species
UACGUAGGGGGCGAGCGUUGUCCGGAAUUAUUGGGCGUAAAGGGUUCGUAGGCGGUUAUUUAAGUCAGAUGUGAAAGGCAUAGGCUCAACCUGUGUAAGCAUUUGAAACUGAGUAACUUGAGUUAAGGAGAGGAAAGUGGAAUUCCUAGUGUAGCGGUGAAAUGCGUAGAUAUUAGGAGGAAUACCAGUGGCGAAGGCGACUUUCUGGACUUAUACUGACGCUGAGGAACGAAAGCGUGGGGAGCAAACAGGAUUAGAUACCCCGGUAGUCCCUGAGCGGGCUGG